AUGUGUCAGAGUCAGAGAGAAGUAGUUGCCUCCUCUGCUGCAGUCCACAGGAGGGAGUUUAGUUUCAUAAAAACUUUGUUACUAUCUCUCUCUGCAGUGGGUCGAGUUGCACCCACCCUGACGGUGCUGCCCCCCUCCAGUGAGGAGCUGCAGCAGGAGAAGGUCACAGUCCUGUGCCUGGCCAACAAGGGCUUCCCCUCAGACUGGAGUCUGGCCUGGAAGGUGGAGGGCAGCAGCAGCAGCAGCAGCUGGGAGGAGAGCAGGACCCCCGGGGUGCUGGAGAAGGACGGCCUCUACAGCUGGAGCAGCACCCUGAGGCUCCCUGCAGACCAGUGGAGCAAGCUGGGCUCUGUGACCUGUGAGGCCACCCAGAGCUCCCAGACUCCGCUCUCAGAGACACUGAGGAGAGACCAGUGUUCCCAGUCCUGACCUGACUCACUGGGACUCUGCUACUGGUUUUACUCUCUUCUCUGUCGCACUGUCUCUCUCUCUUUUAUUUCACAUUUCAGUAACAAUAUUUACGACCUUCUCACAGUGUUUCCACAUUGUUUCUGUGUUUUUAGAAAAUAAAAAUCUGUUCA